AGAAAAGGCAGUGUCGAAGUGGCUCAUUGGUGCCAGGUACAGGGGAGGAAACCGGACUGCGAGGGCACGUGGUGCAGAGCAAGAUGGACACGCCAUAGGCUGUGUAGUACGCACAGGGGAGGAAACCGGACUGCGAGGGCACGUGGUGCAGAGCAAGAUGGACACGCCAUAGGCUGUGUAGUACGCGCAGCCUACGCAGUUGCCUGACA